rnacentral:tRNA from 1 species
GGCUAUGUAGUGUAGCGGUUAUCACAUUUCUCUCGUAAAGAAGGGGUCGAGGGUUCAAAUCCCUCUGUAGCCA